CAGUUGGGGGUUCUGUGCCUUGCUCAACGGCACCUCAGUCAUGGUAUUGCCAGCCCGAGACUCAAACCCACAACCUUAGGGUUAGGAGUCAAACUCUCUAACCACUAGGCCAUGACUUUUUCAGUUACUUUCAAAAUGUGGUAGGGACAAUAUCUGCCAUACCCGUUGGAUGAACUGGAAUGUGUUCUUCAUAGAUUUAGGGUAGUUGAGAAGCAGUGUGUAUGCAAGUCCAUAAUGCAUAUAGCUUUUGGCAAGUCAUCAAUAUUGUCCAUCACAACUUCUCCUUCAAUGAUGAUCUUCAAUGAGGCUGGAUUGAGAUGGAGAGAAGAUGAGAGCCUUCUUGCUCAAUGAGGAGGAUUCCAAUGUCAUCAGAGUCCUAACAACAUUACAGCACAAUCAUGAAAUUUCUCAUUACAUAACCAUCAAUAAUGUUAAGCAAUUUGUUACGACUGCUGGAGUUCUGUCUUCACAAUGAUUAUUUAAAUUUUGGUAACAUGGACUUUUAAUGUAGGAACAGAAACUUAUGAUGUUUCAUUAAAAACAGUUCACACAAAAGUGAAAAUCAGCUGUUAAUUUUCACAUCCUCAGGCCAUCCAAGGUGAAGCUGAGUUUUUCUUCAGCAGAACCUUAAAAAUGAUUAGCUAAAACUGUGGUCCUUGGUGAUUGAUAUAAAACAGUCAACGGAAACAGUUUUUGAUUGUUAAAAAAAACAUGCACAGGCAAAACAAAAUUAAUACCUGUGGAUACUCCUGACCAUACACUGAGGUCUUAAGUAAAACAAUUGGUAUGAGAAGCAUCCACAGCCUCUGCAAGCGGUCCUGAAUGCAUUCACAACAGUCUAGAGCGUGAGUUUCCUGUCACAUAUAAUGUAUGUACAUGAGCAAUCUUCCUGAAGUUGACUGCACAAGCAAAUGAUUUUUAAUUUUUAUAGAGAUUGUGGGAUCCAAGAUAAGUACACGGAAGUACCAUUUUGACGAUGACCAAUACAACACACAAUGCUUGCUCUCGGCGGUGGAUUAAAGAUUGUUUUAAAGCACUCCCAUCCAUACUGUUAUAGCACUGUACCAGACAGCACACUAUUCAGAACUGAGAAUCAGUGCAGUUCCUCCUGUACAGGGCUGCACUGAAUGGAGCAGAGCUGGCACAAACCUAGAACAAUGAGAGUCAAGCCAGGUCCUGUCAGUGGGAUGGUGGCCCUGUUUUCAAGCGAGGAAACUCGCUGAGUGGUUAAGAUCUCUCUGUGGAAGACCGACUGAAAGGUGGACCAUGAAGUGGAGCAACUUAUCAAAGGACUGUAGUGUAGCGUGAACCAGACAAAUUAAAGAUUCGAUCGGGAGCCUGGUUGAAACAUGAGCCGAAUUCCACAGAAAGGCAGGAUGUGUGUAAAUCAACUCCCAGCACCACAGUCUGAU